rnacentral:rRNA from 1 species
UACGUAGGAGGCAAGCGUUUGUCCGGAAUUACUGGGCGUAAAGCGCGUGUAGGUGGUGGGACAAGUCUGCUGUGAAAGCGCCUGGCUUAACCGGGCGAGGUCGGCGGAAACUGUCCGACUAGAGGACGGUAGAGGGGGGUGGAAUUCCCGGUGUAGUGGUGAAAUGCGUAGAGAUCGGGAGGAACACCUGUGGCGAAGGCGGCCCCCUGGGCCGGCCCUGACACUGAGACGCGAAGGCGUGGGGAGCGAACGGG